rnacentral:rRNA from 1 species
AUACGGAGGGUGCGAGCGUUAAUCGGAAUUACUGGGCGUAAAGCGCGCGUAGGCGGUUUGGUCAGUCGGAUGUGAAAUCCCCGGGCUCAACCUGGGAACUGCAUUCGAUACUGGCAAGCUAGAGUAUAGUAGAGGCAAGUGGAAUUCCGGGUGUAGCGGUGAAAUGCGUAGAUAUCCGGAGGAACAUCAGUGGCGAAGGCGACUUGCUGGACUAAUACUGACGCUGAGGAGCGAAAGCGUGGGGAGCAAACGGGAUUAGAAACCCCGGUAGUCC